GGAAGACAAAAUGUUCAUUCAAACAAGCUAACUUGACCAAGAAAUUCCAGCUAAUGCACUUAAAAUGCAACGUUGACAAAUUGACAUUAACUGAUAAGUACAAUGACGAUACCACCAAAGCUAUGUUCAUGUCUGCUUCAAAGUACAAAAUCAGAAAAUUACAGAGAAAAACAUUACACUGUAGGUCGAAAGAUCGAAAAUCUGCUCUUUCGUAUCAGAUUCUACUAUUUCUAUCAAGUGGUGUUUGAUGGUUAGAUCCUGAGUUAAAUAUGUACAAUGACUAGUAUUAAUGUUAAAAAACUUGAUAAUAUAAGAUACUCGAGAGCACCAUCGAAUUUUUCCGCUUUUCCCUCCUCUUUCCUUGUUUGUUGUCUCUUGUGAUGUGAUUUUGGAAUUCAUACGAUACAAAUACUUGGAAAACAGAGUCAGUUCACCUUCAGCAUCAUUUUUUUUUCUUCUGAAAGAGGCAGCAUGCAUGCUGAAACUUCCACAUCAGGAAUGGACAGGACUUAGGUCAAACACACCUAACUUUUUCCCCCAUUUUUCUGUAUACAAGUUUUAUGAAUUAAUACUAGUGGGGCCUGCCUUUAUGAAGUAGAGGACUACUUGAUCUCUCUACCAAAAGACUUUAAGUAAAGGUGUAUGAAAUUUGAACUGUAUUAAGGGGGAAAGGAGUGAGAUCCACACUGAAUUUUUGUGUCCCGAGCCUACAGACAGAGUGAUUCGGACUACUUAAUUUCAAUUAUACGAUCACUAUUAGCCUAUUUCAUUGCCUCACUUCACAAAAAUUCAAAAACUUGAAAGGUCCAAAUCUCUUUCUCCCUCUUUGAACAGUCUAGAUCUCUCAGUCAGAGGACUCUGAAUACAGAGUUCUGGACUGGAUCUCAUUCUAGGAGGAAAUACUUAGGUGUCAAUGAGAGUAUGCUUUAUGUGCACUUGGUAUUUUGGGACACAUCUAAUUUUUAAUUGGAGAAAUGCUACAUGGACUCUUUCAAAACAAAGAAAUUUUUUACUAUGCUCAAAACACUAGAUAGUACAUCAUAAAUAUGCGGUGUACCACACUGUAGUUCAAGCAUAUGAAAAAUCUCUUCUCAAAAGAGGAUGCUCUAUUUAACUAUUUGUCAUCUUAUGUUUUUAGCACAAUAUUUUGAAGUGUUGGCACGAGAAUUAACGUUAAACUGUAAAUUAGCAGAGAAUCCACAAAGAGUCCAAAGAGAAUCUCCGUAGAAUUUCUCUUUUAAUGAAUGUGCAAAAACAAAUAGUGCUAACAUUAAUAAUAUGAUAAAUGAAUUCCAAACAGCUAAGCUUGUAUCCCAACAACUAAUUCACAAUGAAGUACUGUAAUGAAAUCCAGCUAAGCUUCACUAUGUAAUAUGUCUACAUAGCAAAUAGAUUAGACUAAAUUUAUUAUUAAUUAAUAAUAAUAAUUAAAAUUAAUUAGUUAAUUAUGUCCAAUUAAAAUAAGCUUCCUAGGGCUCUCUCAUGGGUUAACAUGAUCUGUUUACAUUAUUUGAUUUAAUAAAAUUAUUAAGAAGCUGUCUCUUGCCUUAUAAUUACGUGACAACCAAAAGUAUUUCAUUAUUGUGUCUCCACUAUGUCGCCUCCAAUCGAUCAAGUAUCAAUAAAACAAAUUAAAAAAAAUAAAAAAAAUAAAAAAAACAAACUUUUAAGCUUGAAAUAUUCCCAUCUAAAUAAAAGAAAACUACAAAUUUCGACAAAAGAAAUAAAAAUAAAAAUAAAAGAAAACUACAAAAAUAAAGCAAAAGGUUAAAUAAAAUAUUGAAAGGACAAUUUGUUUUAUGCGGCUAAUUGGGCCGAUUCACUCGCCUUCUACUUUUGAGUCGUAGGACGAGAAACUGUGAGCAUUGUUCUAAAAGCGGCUUAGGCGGUGUCUAGACGCUAGACGGAAGUGAAGUGCUCCAAUUAGGGUUUAAGCAUUUUAGAAAUCGAUGAAGUGUUUAGGCAGCAAUAGAAGGCGUCUAGAUGGUUUUAGGCGGUUUAAUUUAUAUUAUUAUUUAAAUUAAGAGUUUAAACAUAAUUUUCUUGUAAAAUAAUUCUGAACUUUCUGUCUUGUAAGAUAACUUUUAAUACAUGUUUCAUUUUAUGUAUUCAAUCAAUUGUUGACUUAUUUAUAUGUUUUGAUUGUUUAUAAUAAUUUAAUUAAAAUUUAAAAUUCGCCUAGGUCUCUGCCUGUCACCUUACCGCUUUUUAGAACCUUGACUAUGAGAUGUAUAUUUACUUGGAAUGAGGAAGUCUUGAAUUGUUAUGAGAUAAACUAAUACCAUACUCUGAUAUGGUUCUUAAUUUUUUUUAGCUAUUUGAUACCAAUUUUAAGAGUAAUGUUAGGGAGACUAGAUUUCUAAAUGCUGUAAAUUAAAUAGCAUGGGAGUUGAUGAUUGAUUAUUACUUAAACGCUAAUAAACGUGCUCAUUUUCUAUUGCUGACACAUCAUUUGGUUUGCAAAAUUUGUCUACAAAUUUAGUUCCCCUAGCAUCAUUUGCAACACAACAUUUUUAAUGUGGACAUCAAUAAUAGGUGUCGAACUCGCCGUUUAUAACACUUUGAAUCUAAGACCACCCACCAACAAGCGAAGAUAAAUACCACUACAUUGUAGUAUUAAUAGUCUAAUCCAAUGAGAAAGCGACUAACUUACUUACAAUGGGACUAUAUUCCGACUCUCUCGGUCACAUGUGUCAUGUAAUAAGUGACGACUAAGAUAAAGAUAACCGACCAGAACGUAAUAACAUAUCCACGUGACAUGGAAGUUUUUGUCGGGCGAGGGGAUGUUUGUCACACCAGUUGUAUCAACUACUUGAGAUUAAUUUUCACACCAACCAUCCAAGUCACAUUUAUAUCUUUAGGACAUCUCAACUCCAGAACAGAGUACGUUCCCCAGAAAAAGGGAAGACAAAAUGUUCAUUCAAACAAGCUAACUUGACCAAGAAAUUCCAGCUAAUGCACUUAAAAUGCAACGUUGACAAAUUGACAUUAACUGAUAAGUACAAUGACGAUACCACCAAAGCUAUGUUCAUGUCUGCUUCAAAGUACAAAAUCAGAAAAUUACAGAGAAAAACAUUACACUGUAGGUCGAAAGAUCGAAAAUCUGCUCUUUCGUAUAAGAUUCUGCUAUUUCUAUCCAUCCAAACAAUCCAAAUAACUGUCAUGGUCACCGUUCUAAAAAUUCCCGUCUAGCCCCUGUUUAGGUACUACGUAGCUGGUCAACGUCCCCUU
rnacentral:lncRNA from 1 species